GGGCUGCUAGCUCAACUGGUAGAGCAACGGACUCUUAAUCCGUAGGUUCAGUGUUCGAUCCACUGGCAGCCCACCA
rnacentral:tRNA from 1 species